GCAUUUCACUGUGAGGUCUACUACACCUGUUGUAUUCAGCAUUUCACUGUUAGGUCUACUACACCUGUUGUAUUCAGCAUUUCACUGUAAGGUCUACUACACCUGUUGUAUUCAGCAUUUCACUGUAAGGUCUACUACACCUGUUGUAUUCAGCAUUUCACUGUAAGGUCUACUACACCUGUUGUAUUCAGCAUUUCACUGUAAGGUCUACUACACCUGUUGUAUUCAGCAUUUCACUGUAAGGUCUACUACACCUGUUGUAUUCAGCAUUUCACUGUGAGGUCUACUACACCUGUUGUAUUCAGCAUUUCACUGUGAGGUCUACUACACCUGUUGUAUUCAGCAUUUCACUGUAAGGUCUACUACACCUGUUGUAUUCAGCAUUUCACUGUGAGGUCUACUACACCUGUUGUAUUCAGCAUUUCACUGUGAGGUCUACUACACCUGUUGUAU